rnacentral:rRNA from 1 species
AACGAACGCUGGCGGCAUGCCUAACACAUGCGAGUCGAACGAGACCUUCGGGUCUAGUGGCGCACGGGUGCGUAACGCGUGGGAACCUGCCCCUAGGUUCGGAAUAACUCCCCGAAAGGGGUGCUAAUACCGGAUAAUGUCUUCGGACCAAAGAUUUAUCGCCUUUGGAUGGGCCCGCGUUGGAUUAGCUAGUUGGUAGGGUAAAAGCCUACCAAGGCGACGAUCCAUAGCUGGUCUGAGAGGAUGAUCAGCCACACUGGGACUGAGACACGGCCCAGACUCCUACGGGAGGCAGCAGUGGGGAAUAUUGGACAAUGGGCGAAAGCCUGAUCCAGCAAUGCCGCGUGAGUGAUGAAGGCCUUAGGGUUGUAAAGCUCUUUUACCCGGGAUGAUAAUGACAGUACCGGGAGAAUAAGCUCCGGCUAACUCCGUG